rnacentral:rRNA from 1 species
UACGUAGGGGGGCAAGCGUUGUCCGGAAUCAUUGGGCGUAAAGAGCGUGUAGGCGGCCUGACAGGUCUGCUGUGAAAACUCGAGGCUCAACCUCGAGAUGUCGGCGGGAAACCGUCUGGCUAGAGUCCGGAAGAGGAGAGUGGAAUUCCUGGUGUAGCGGUGAAAUGCGCAGAUAUCAGGAAGAACACCAACGGCGAAGGCAGCUCGCUGGGACGGUACUGACGCUGAGACGCGAAAGCGUGGGGAGCAAACAGG